rnacentral:rRNA from 1 species
CCUACGGGAGGCAGCAGUGAGGAAUAUUGGUCAAUGGGCGCGAGCCUGAACCAGCCAAGUCGCGUGAGGGAGGACGGCCCUACGGGUUGUAAACCUCUUUUGCCGGGGAGCAACGCUCGUCACGUGUGUCGCCACUGAGAGUACCCGCAGAAAAAGCAUCGGCUAACUCCGUGCCAGCAGCCGCGGUAAUACGGGGGAUGCAAGCGUUAUCGGGAUUUAUUGGGUUUAAGGGGUGCUUAGGGGGAUGGUUAAGUCGGUGGUAAAUGUGAGGGGCUAACCCCAUUCCCGCCAUUGAAACUGGCGCUCUUGAGUGGAAGAGAAGUAUGCGGAAUGCGUGGUGUAGCGGUGAAAUGCAUAGAUAUCACACAGAACCCCGAUUGCGAAGGCAGCAUGCCGGCUUCCGACUGACGCUGAAGCACGAAAGCGUGGGGAUCGAACAGGAUUAGAUACCCCUGUAGUC